AACGAACGCUGGCGGUAUGCCUAACACAUGCAAGUCGAACGAGACCUUCGGGUCUAGUGGCGCACGGGUGCGUAACGCGUGGGAACCUGCCCUUAGGUUCGGAAUAACUCCCCGAAAGGGGUGCUAAUACCGGAUAAUGUCUUCGGACCAAAGAUUUAUCGCCUUUGGAUGGGCCCGCGUUGGAUUAGCUAGUUGGUAGGGUAAAAGCCUACCAAGGCGACGAUCCAUAGCUGGUCUGAGAGGAUGAUCAGCCACACUGGGACUGAGACACGGCCCAGACUCCUACGGGAGGCAGCAGUGGGGAAUAUUGGACAAGGGGCGAAAGCCUGAGCCAGCAAUGCCGCGUGAGUGAUGAAGGCCUUAGGGUUGUAAAGCUCUUUUACCCGGGAUGAUAAUGACAGUACCGGGAGAAUAAGCGCCGGCUAACUCCGUG
rnacentral:rRNA from 1 species